CUCAAAGGGGACUGAGCUCCUUCUGGAGGGAGAGCUGGAGCAUGAGUGGGGUGCUCCCUUGCUGCCUUUGAAUAUGCAGGCCACGCGUGUUUGCAGAUCUGUGGGCUCUAGAGAAGCCAAGAAUCUGGAUUUUUGUAUGAAACAGCUUGACUUUUAACAUGGAAAUUCUACACACACACAGAGACACACACAUGAAGUCAAGGAACCGCCUUCAUGCCCUGACUCUGGAAUGACAGUCUGCUACCAACAGUCUUAAAUUUCUAAUUUGUGCGGAGAUGUGGAGGUUCACAAAAAUGGAGAAAUUUCCUGGGAAAACAGGUCAUCAUUCUUUUGAAUGUUUCUUUAAAGCAAAGUGUUCCUGCUGCACCAGACUGCACCCUAGUCACAGCUACCAAGUCACAGGCCAGAGGAGACCAGGAAGACCCGAUAGCUAGAUGCAACGUGGCACUCUGAGCUGGAUCUGGAGACCAGGAAGACGCGACAGCUAGAUGCGAAGUGGCACUCUGAGCUGGAUCCGGGCACUAUAAAGGGUAGUAGCAAAAAAUAAUGAUGAAAUCAAAUAAAGUCUGGAGCUUGGUUAAAUGUCAGGGUCUUGGUUUUGACAAGUGUACUGUGAAAAUAUAAGAUGUUUCCAGUGAGUGAAACUGGCUGAGGGGUGUACAGGAACUCUGUGUAGCAUCUUUGCAACUUGUCUGAAACUCUAAAAAUUACUGCAAAAUACGGAUGUUUAUUGAUAUUUAAAAGACACAAGCGUUAGAAGGGGAGGGGUGACGGACAGGAAGAGCACAGAGGAUUUUUAUAGCAGUGAAAUUAUUCUGCACGGUACUUCAUGCACGCUCAGUCACUUUGGUUGUGUAUGACUCUUUGUGACACCAUGGACCGUAGCCUGCCAGGCUCCUCUGUCCAUGAGAUUCUCCAAGCAAGAGUACCGGAGUGGGUAGCCAUGCCCUCCUCCAGGGGAUCUUCCCAAUCCAGGGAUCGAACUAAAUCGCUAGUGUUUUCUGCAUCACAGGUGGAUUCUUUACCGCUGAGCCACUGGGGAAGACUGCAUGAUAUUAUAAUGAUGGAUACAUGUCAUUAUGCGUGCCUGCUAAGGUGCUUCAGUGGUGUAUGACUCUUUGUGACCCUGUGGACUGUAGCCCGCCAGGCUCCUCUGUCCAUGGGAUUCUCUAGGCAAGAAUACGGGAAGGGGUUGCCAUGCCCUCCUCCAGAGGAUCUUCCUGACCCAGGGAUCGAACCAG
ensembl:lncRNA